rnacentral:rRNA from 1 species
CUACGGGAGGCAGCAGUGGGGAAUCUUGCGCAAUGGGCGAAAGCCUGACGCAGCCAUGCCGCGUGAAUGAUGAAGGUCUUAGGAUUGUAAAAUUCUUUCACCGGGGACGAUAAUGACGGUACCCGGAGAAGAAGCCCCGGCUAACUUCGUGCCAGCAGCCGCGGUAA